rnacentral:snRNA from 1 species
GUGCUUGCUUCAGCAGUACACAUACUAGAAAAAAUUGGAACAACACAGAGAAGAUUAGCAUGGCUUCUGUGUAAGGAUGGCACACAAAUUCAUGAAGCAUUCCAUAUUUUA